rnacentral:tRNA from 1 species
GGUGAUGCAGCUCAGUGGUAGAACACUUGCCUAGCAUGCAAGAGGUCCUGGCUUGGAUUUCCAGCACCACCA